GUGAAUCAUCGAAUCUUUGAACGCACAUUGCGCCCUUUGGUAUUCCGAAGGGCAUGCCUGUUCGAGCGUCAUUUAAACUCUCAAGCAUCGCUUGGUAUUGGGUCAGGUCCUCGUAGACCGACCUGUAACUCCUUUGGCAAAACGUGUCGGCUUCAAGCGUAGCAAAACUUUCGCUUCGUGGUCGACAUCCGAGCCAGUUAAGACUUUACUUUCAAGUUUGACCUCGGAUCAGGUAGGGAUACCCGCUGAACUUAAGCAUAUCAAUAAGCGGAGGA
rnacentral:misc_RNA from 1 species